rnacentral:tRNA from 1 species
GGGGGUGUGGUGUAAUGGACAAGCACUAUAGCCUUCCAAGCUGUUAGUCAGGGUUCGAAUCCCUGUACCCCCU